rnacentral:rRNA from 1 species
AGCGAACGCUGGCGGCAGGCUUAACACAUGCAAGUCGAGCGGGCGUAGCAAUACGUCAGCGGCAGACGGGUGAGUAACGCGUGGGAACGUACCUUUUGGUUCGGAACAACCCAGGGAAACUUGGGCUAAUACCGGAUAAGCCCUUACGGGGAAAGAUUUAUCGCCGAAAGAUCGGCCCGCGUCUGAUUAGCUAGUUGGUGUGGUAACGGCGCACCAAGGCGACGAUCAGUAGCUGGUCNGAGAGGAUGAUCAGCCACAUUGGGACUGAGACACGGCCCAAACUCCUACGGGAGGCAGCAGUGGGGAAUAUUGCGCAAUGGGCGAAAGCCUGACGCAGCGACGCCGCGUGAGGGAUGACGGCCUGG